rnacentral:lncRNA from 1 species
UUACAUAUAGGGCCUGUUUGUUUCAACAUAAGUAGACUUGGGGUGGAAGUGGAGUUGGGGUGAAAAUUAAUUCACUUCCGCUAUUUGUUUCUAACUGUGGAAGUGCAGUUCUACGAGUUCUGUUGUUUGUUUAGUAGGAAGUAGAUGACGUAAAAAGUGUAGCUCUCGACCCCCGGUAUACUUACCUCCGAAGUGAUAUAUCAUUAGUGAAUAAUAAAUUAUAAUAAAUAAAAAUUAAUAUAAUUAUAUAUGUAUAUAAUUAUAUAUAUGUAUAAUUAUAAAAUAAAAUUUUAAAAAAUUAUAUUAUUUGUUUGCAUAUAAAUUAUAAUAAUGCAACAAAUAAAAUUCUAAAGUUAAAAAAUUAUUAACAUUUAACAAAUUCAUUUUUCAUCAUUUUCUAAAUAUACAAAUUAGACAAAAAAAAAUAUAUUAAAACUUACCUAACCAAAUUUAACAAGUUCCUUUGCCUCUUUGCACUUCACCGGAAUUGACUUCGCCCCGUGGGAGGGCAAAGUCAAUUACCCUAUUUUGGGUGAACUCGACUUUCGGCUGUAAUAAAAUUACGGCAAAACAAACAACGGAAGUGAUAGUUACGGCGUAAACAAUUUCCCUCCUCUCCACUUCCCCCUCACUUCCACCCAAACAAACACACCCUAAUGAAAGCGCAGUUGGAAAGUGAGCGCGGAGGCCACCCCUAUUUAAUAUUUAAAUAUAAAUUUAAAUUUUAAAUUUUAAAUUUUAAAUUUUAAAAAUUUUAAAAUUAAUACUAAAUUUUAAAUUUUUAAAAUUUAAAUUAUCAUUUUUAAUUAUAUAAAUUUUAAAUUUGACAUUUUAUAUUUGUAACUUGAGAUUUGAUUUAAAAUUUAAAAUUUAAAAUUUAAAAGUUAUAAUUUAAAAUUUAUAAUUUUAAAUUUUUAAAUUUGAGAUUUAAAAAUAUAGAUUUUAAUUUUGAAUUUUAAAUUAUAAAUUAUUAUUUUUAAUUAUUUAAAUUUUAAAUUUAAAUUCAAAUAUAAUAAUUGGGCAAUAUUAUUAUUUUCUAUUUAUAACUACCCACUAUUCUUUUUAUUCCAUUUUAUCUAUCAAAAUGCUAUAUUUUUUAAUCCCGAAAACAACUCAAUUAUUAUCCAAAUGCAAAAUUAGUGUAUUUUCAAGUUUAAUCCUGAACUUAACUCUAUUUCUGGAAUAACUAGUUCUUACUUAACCCCGAACCAAACGAAGGCCCAGGCAUUUUGUGGUAAAUUACACUAAUAGUUUCCAAU